rnacentral:rRNA from 1 species
UACGAAGGGGGCUAGCGUUGCUCGGAAUUACUGGGCGUAAAGCGCACGUAGGCGGUCUUUUAAGUCGGGGGUGAAAUCCUGGAGCUCAACUCCAGAACUGCCUUCGAUACUGGAAGACUCGAGUCCGGGAGAGGUGAGUGGAACUGCGAGUGUAGAGGUGAAAUUCGUAGAUAUUCGCAAGAACACCAGUGGCGAAGGCGGCUCACUGGCCCGGUACUGACGCUGAGGAACGAAAGCCAGGGGAGCGAACGGG